ensembl:lncRNA
GUUGGACACACAGAGGAGGGAACGAUGGUGAACAUGUAGAGUUGGACACAGAGAGGAGGGAACGAUGGUGAACAUGUACAGUUGGACACACAGAGGAGGGAACGAUGGUGAACAUGUAGAGUUGGACACACAGAGGAGGGAACGAUGGUGAACAUGAAGGGUCGGACUAAGAGCCUCUACUCCACUGUGCCCAGUGGAAGAAAUUAUAAUCAUGUGCAACAAUAAUAUGCAAAAACAUCAAAUAAUCACCAAAUGUUCAGAGGCACACCUUUCAUGGUCUCGUGGUCGGAUGAGUCAACACUCUCAAAGCAAUAGUCUAGAAAUAGUCUACUUGCCAACUUACAUGUCUAUUUAGCAUAAAAUAACAUUUAAAUGCUGCACACAUUCUGAUGCCAGUUUUUAACACACAGCAAAUGAAAUGCCUCUAUAGAGACGUCUGCUAAAUACAUCACGUGUCCAUGGGCCUGCAGCGAUGGUGUGUUUAAAUGUGAUCCUGCCAUUGUGUCCCCUGGCCCUGCUCCUUAAGGCCUCCACCCUGGCCUCCACAGAAGCAAUAUUCAGUGUGCAUUUGUAAAGUAUGAACCCUCCAUUGUUCAUCCUAACUAGUAUCAUUCCUUUACACUGAUACCCCAUCACUCUGGUGCUCUCCCGGGAGCUCUCUCUCUCUCUCUCUCUCUCUCUCUCUCUCUCUCUCUCUCUCUCUCUCUUUCUGUCGCUCUCUCGCUCCAUCGUGCUUUCUGUUUUCAUCCUUCUCUUCCUCCUUAGGAGGAACAAAGCGUGACUUUAGCCCUGUCUUGAUCCAGCGCGUUUUUAAGCAGAUAGUUCAGCCAGGAUUAAUAUUCUGGGGCACUUUGAUGUCAAAGAGCUACGACGUCGC